AUUGAACGCUGGCGGCAGGCCUAACACAUGCAAGUCGAGCGAGCGGCGGACGGGUGAGUAAUGUAUGGGGACUGCCCGAUAGAGGGGGAUAACUACUGGAAACGGUGGCUAAUACCGCAUACUAUCGGAUAACCCAUAUGGGAUUAGCUAGUAGGUGGGGUAAAGGCUCACCUAGGCGACGAUCUCUGGCUGGUCUGAGAGUCUGAUCAGCCACACUUGGCGUGUGACCAGGCCCAGACUCCAAGGGAGGAAGAAGUGGGAAAUAUUGCACAAUGGGCGGAAGCCUGAUGCAGCCAUGCCGAGUGUAUGAAGAAGGCCUUAGGGUGGUAAAGUAUUUUCAGCGGGAGGCGUUACCCGCAGAAGAAGCACCGGCUAACUCCGUGCCAGCAGCCGCGGUAAUAC
rnacentral:rRNA from 1 species